rnacentral:rRNA from 1 species
AGUGAACGUUGGCGGCGUGGAUUAGGCAUGCAAGUCGAGCGAGAACCGUAGCAAUACGGGGACAGCGGCGAAAGGGACAGUAAUGUGUAGGUACCUACCCCCGGGUUCGGGAUAGCUGCGGGAAACUGCAGGUAAUACCGAAUAAUGUCUCCGGACCAAAGGUGUGAUUCCACCUGGGGAGGGGCCUGCAUCCUAUUAGCUUGUUGGUGGGGUAACGGCUCACCAAGGCGACGAUGGGUAGCGGGUGUGAGAGCAUGACCCGCGUCAUUGGGACUGAGACACUGCCCAGACACCUACGGGUGGCUGCAGUCGAGAAUCUUCGGCAAUGGGCGCAAGCCUGACCGAGCGACGCCACGUGCGGGAUGAAGGCCUUCGGGUUGUAAACCGCUGUCGUAGAGGAGGAAAUGCAGGGGGGUUCUCCCUUCUGUUUGACCUAUUCUAGGAGGAAGUACGGGCUAAGUUUGUGCCAGCAGCCGCAGUAAGAC